CGUAAGCAAGCUAGCUUCGUAAGGUGGCGCUGUGGCUUAGUUGGUUAAAGCGCCUGUCUAGUAAACAGGAGAUCCUGGGUUCGAAUCCCAGCAGUGCCUUGGGUUUUUCCGCUUUUGAGGUACGGUGUGCGGCUCAGCCGGGGUAAUAUGCUAUGCCUUCGAUUGGUUCCUGUGGCUGAUUUCACCCUUGAGCAAAGCCCUUAACCCCCAAUUGCCCGAGGGACUGUCUGACCCUGCUUUCUUGGGGAAAAAAAACGUCGUUUGGGAUAAAAACCUGUGCUAAAAUAAAUGCCAAACCAAUGAUACUUAUGGGUAGGAAGAAUUUGUUUUCAACCAAACAAACAAUAAAUGAAAUAAAUAAGACGUGUAACAUGUGCAUUCUAUCUGUCGAUUAUUACUAUUAAUUAUUGCUAUUAUCAUUUCACCAUCCUCUAUACAUACUCUAAACAUGUCACUAUGUGAAAAUCCCAAGAAGGUGGCUGCUUCUGAAAUGCUGGAAAAACAUGAUGAACCACAUCGAAAAUCUCUUAGUUCCCCCAUCACGCGCAGUGAAUGCUCUGUCAUUGAGAUCACCCCCUUUAUCAAGUGUCGGAACCACUUAUGCAGGACAAGCAAAUCAUUCACGGUGUGAUUGUGACACUGUGUCAGUCCUGGGGGAGGGAACCUUGGGUGAGUCAAUGACAAUUUAUUCCUAUAUUAUUCUGUUUGGAACCCCAGCCAUGAGAAAAUGAAUUCAUACGUAGAGCUUCACUGCUCACCAGAGGGGCGAGUUUGUCACUGUAGGUGUGGAGACGUUGGCCGGCAGCGGUGGAACUCACUGCAAAGGUCAGAUGGACUUGCUUUUGUGCCUCAGGGGACAGAAAAUGGCUGCGUUCUGCUUUUGAUGUGCAGCCUAAUUGAAUUCAGUAACGACAAUGCAGGAGAGAAGCACUCAGACGGUCACGAAGAAAUGAAGGCAGCUCCUUAAGUAGGUUUCUAAAGACCACCAAAAGCCCCAAGGCUCCACACACCAUCUCCUCCUCCAUUCCUGCAUCAUCGUGUCCCGUUGUGGCCACACAACCUGCCUUAGCAGACGGGUCCAAAGCCUCAGGUGGGCUUGAAGAAUGAAGAGGAGCGAGCCCCAAAAAUACAGAAACACAACUCAAGUCUCACAGCUUCUGACUGCUGACCUAAUAUUAAUUUAGAACAGCCUGAAUUUUGUCCGUUACAUUCUCUGUAGCCACCAUCUCUGGACAAAUGAAACACCUGAAGUAGUAUUCCAAUACCUAAUUUUUAUAUACCUUAUAUUGACUGCUUUGAAAUGAUUUCCUGACCAAAGAAUAGGAGUCAAAGAAAUUAUAUUUCAUUCGUAUUUCUGGUCGAAUUCCAUACAGUCUUGAAGUCUGCCCUCAUGGCUAAAUACAGAAGUAAAGUAGUAAUAGAGAUCUUUUGAUUUUUGACACCACUGAUACUUACUGUACCCCAAACAUUUUUCUUGGCAAAUAACUCUAGGUCCUCAUCCAUUGAACCCAACCCUACUUACUUCCAUAACCAACCAUGCAUUUUAUUUCCAGAAAAAAGCAAUUGCAUUUGUUUCUAGUUUCCAGCCCUCACCCUCAGGGAAUGGUUUGGAGGCUGGUGUCAUCAGCAUAACAGCUCAGGUGAGCCUGACAUUUAAGUUACCUCCAUCAUUAGG